rnacentral:rRNA from 1 species
UACAGAGGGGGCGAGCGUUAUUCGGAAUUAUUGGGCGUAAAGGGCGCGUAGGCGGCUUUUCAAGUGACGGGUGAAAUCCCUCGGCUUAACCGAGGAACUGCCUGUCAGACUGGGAGGCUUGAGACCGGGAGAGGUGAGUGGAAUUCCCAGUGUAGCGGUGAAAUGCGUAGAUAUUGGGAGGAACACCAGUGGCGAAGGCGGCUCACUGGACCGGAACUGACGCUGAGGCGCGAAAGCUAGGGGAGCAAACGGG